GACGAACGCUGGCGGCGUGCUUAACACAUGCAAGUCGAACGGAAAGGCCCUGCUUUUGUGGGGUGCUCGAGUGGCGAACGGGUGAGUAACACGUGAGUAACCUGCCCUUGACUUUGGGAUAACUUCAGGAAACUGGGGCUAAUACCGGAUAGGAGCUCCUGCUGCAUGGUGGGGGUUGGAAAGUUUCGGCGGUUGGGGAUGGACUCGCGGCUUAUCAGCUUGUUGGUGGGGUAGUGGCUUACCAAGGCUUUGACGGGUAGCCGGCCUGAGAGGGUGACCGGCCACAUUGGGACUGAGAUACGGCCCAGACUCCUACGGGCGGCAGCAGUGGAGAAUAUUGCACAAUGGGCGGAAGCCUGAUGCAGCAACGCCGCGUGCGGGAUGACGGCCUUCGGGUUGUAAACCGCUUUCGCCUGUGACGAAGCGUGAGUGACGGUAAUGGGUAAAGAAGCACCGGCUAACUACGUG
rnacentral:rRNA from 1 species